UUCAGUUCGGUUGGAGAUUCAGGUGUGUUAUGCUAGCAGCGGCUAAUAAAAUCUCUGCAGCCAGAGCUGAGAUGAUGAACGAACUUCUGAGGUCUGUGUGAUGGACACAGAAUGUACCUGCUACCUGCCUGCAUACAGUAUGGACCUCAGUGACUGACAGAAUUGUGUCCUGUACAGGGUGGUUCCCUGGCUCUCACCUGAUGCAUUUUGGGAUACACUCCAGCGACCCUAACCAGUAGAGAAUGGAUGGAUGCAUGCGGCUUUCAGUUUCUUUGCAGCAAGUGGAACACAGGCAAAACAUCCAGAGAAAUGUUCCAAACCUCAUUUAGUUUAAUCCAUUUACGAAGCUUUUCUGCUUCUCAUAGUCAGCCUCAGUAUGCACUGUGACCAGUAUCAGUAGUUCUGGGGGGCAUUUUAUACCUUUAUUAGAGUCAGCAGAGAGGUAACAAGAUAUGAGGUAAAAAAAAAUUUAAAAAAAAAGAAAAAAAAAGAGGAGGAGUGACACGCAAGGUCUUAUGUCAGACUCAAGCCAGGGAUGAUGUAAUGCCUGUUCCACAACAGACAUUUUGACUUGUAACAGGAAAGUGUCCCACUAAGAAAAAACAAUAAACGUGCAUAACGCGAGGUCUCUCAAACCAAAAUGUAUACCACUUUAUUUAAC